rfam:Schistosoma mansoni, Puerto Rico, WGS project CABG01000000 data, contig: 0163
GCACUGCUGAAGAGUCCCAAAAUAGGACGAAACGGCCGUCCAGUGC